GACAGAGGAUGCAAGCGUUAUCCGGAAUGAUUGGGCGUAAAGCGUCUGUAGGUGGCUUUUUAAGUCCGCCGUCAAAUCCCAGGGCUCAACCCUGGACAGGCGGUGGAAACUACCCAAGCUGGAGUACGGUAGGGGCAGAGGGAAUUUCCGGUGGAGCGGUGAAAUUCGUAGAUAUUGGGAAGAACACCGGUGGCGAAGGCGGCUCUCUGGACCGACACUGACGCUGAGGCGCGAAAGCGUGGGGAGCAAACAGGG
rnacentral:rRNA from 1 species